rnacentral:misc_RNA from 1 species
AAGCUGAAGGAGGCUAUCAUGCAGGUAAGUUUCAUACUUGAAUAUUAUACUAAACUAAUGCUUGCAAAAUUGAUAGUGUGAAGUUUUCUUUAGUAAUGUUUUGUCAAGUAAUAUAUUAUGCUAAACCUAUAUUUGAUUUCCAGUUAUUAUAGAUAUCUCAGGUGUUUUAUCCUUUGGUUCACUACUUUUUCACCUUUAUUUAUUAUUUUGAUUGUGUGGAGCCUGAAAGUUCUGCCAUCCUCUUGCCUGGUAUGUUGUACUCAUAUGAAGGUGUGCUUGAUUGAAUCACUUAGAUUUGUCAAGAGUUGGGAUGAGGUCUCACAGGUUGUCAAUUUCAGAAGUGUCAAUGUAUGAGUUGCAUGGUUAUUAUACACGUAACCAUCAAUAACAUGAGGACAGUUGAGAGCAGCUGUAAACAACAGAAGGAGAAUUAAUUUAAGUGUGAUGAUUGCUUUCAGUAAUAACUUUUUGGGUGAUUUCUCCACAGACAUCUUCAGUAGAUUGACAAAAAAUGGGUGCAAGAGCAAGUAUAAAUCGAUAGAUUCUCUCCUGGAGAAGUCCUGUCAGCUGUAGCGAAGUUUGAACUGUGAUGUUACUAAUUGUUUCUCCUCUUAAUGGGGUAGCUUAGCAUGGUCUGUUGGUGACUGAUAUGAUAAAAGAUUGCCUUUUCUCCUCUCUGCGUCAAGGUGUUUUAACUUCUUUUGAGAAAUUUAAAGAUUGUGUAUGUUUCUGUUUGUGUACAAGUGAGGAGUUUUACUUUCACCUUUGCAUCCUUUAAUUGGUGGAUACUUCAUUAGUUUGAGAUUGUCAUUGGUGAGGUUUGUCAAACCUUGGCCAUAUUGGAGAUAAAAUGAAAGAG